rnacentral:rRNA from 1 species
GACAGAGGGUGCGAACGUUGUUCGGAAUUACUGGGCGUAAAGCGCAUGUAGGCGGCAGCGCAAGUCGGGCGUGAAAUCCCACGGCUCAACCGUGGAAGUGCACUCGAAACUGCGCAGCUAGAGUCCUGGAGAGGAAGGUGGAAUGCUUGGUGUAGAGGUGAAAUUCGUAGAUAUCAAGCGGAACACCGGUGGCGAAGGCGGCCUUCUGGACAGUGACUGACGCUGAGAUGCGAAAGCGUGGGGAGCAAACAGGG